rnacentral:rRNA from 1 species
AACGAACGCUGGCGGCAUGCCUAACACAUGCAAGUCGAACGAGACCUUCGGGUCUAGUGGCGCAGGGGUGCGUACCGCGUGGUAACCAGCCCUUAAGUUACCAAUAACUGCCCGAAAGGGGUGCUAAUAACGGAUAAUGUCAUCCGACCAAAGAUUUAGCGCUUUUGGAUGGCGCCGCGUUGGUUUAGCCAGUUGGUAGAGGACUAGCCUGGCAACGCGACGUUCCAUAGCUGGUCUGGGAGGAGGAUCAGUCACAAUGGCACUGAGACACGGACCAGACAGGGACGCGAGGCAGCGGUGGAGAGUAUUAGGCAAUGAGCGAGAACCCGAUACAGCAGUGUCGGGUGAGGGAUCAAUGCCUUAGGGUUGCAUAUCUCUUUUACCCGGGGUGAUAAUGACAGUACCGGGAGAAUAAGCUCCGGCUAACUCCGUG